GAUGAAGAACGCAGCGAAAUGCGAUAAGUAAUGUGAAUUGCAGAAUUCAGUGAAUCAUCGAAUCUUUGAACGCAUCUUGCGCUCCUUGGUAUUCCGAGGAGCAUGCCUGUUUGAGUGUCAUUUAACUUCUCAACCAGACAUCAGAUUAUCUUUUGAUGCUUGGCUUGGAUCUGGGGGUUGUUUGCAGGCCUUCUUGUUCAAGGAGGUCGGCUCCCCUGAAAUGUAUUAGUGGUAUCUGAGGCUAUUGCUAUUAGGUGUGAUAAUUAUCUAUGUCUUUUGGCAUGCCCCAUGAACAGAUUACACUGCUUCCAACAAAAAAAAAACAAUUUUGAUGAAUUUGACCUCAAAUCAGGUAGGACUACCCGCUGAACUUAAGCAUAUCAAUAAGCGGAGGA
rnacentral:misc_RNA from 1 species